AAGCCAGCUGGAUACUGGACAGCGGGCAGGCGAACAGUGCGGAGGCUCGUGAGGCACUGGCUGGUUAGGUGUGGGGAAGCUCUUGCCUGCCCGACGACAGGAGAGUGAUGCACGGGCCAUCCCGCGCCCCCACACAGCCUCCCGCCACGCCGUCUUUCUCCAACUGACAUGCACAAGCCUUCCGUUCUCUUCCUCGUCCGUUAAAUUUGAAUUUGAGUUUGUUACUCUUUGUUGCCCCCUAGUGCUCAGUAUACGACGUUUCGACUUUUUCUGUGUCUUCAUCAGGUAUGUAUUUCUUUCUUUCUGUUUCUGUUUCUUACGGCCCCCUCUUUAAUAUUAUUCCUGCAACUUAAAUUUAGUUAGGCACCCCCUGUGAUACUGUUCUUCAUUCUUUUUAAAUAAAAUGUUCACAUGGACUUACAAAAAAUGCAGAAAUUAUUUAAAUUGACACACCAGGAUUGGUUUGAAACGAAAGGUAAGUGACGUUGCACAAGCACGAAAACAUCCACACACAUUUAGGGUAAGGACACAUCAGGUAAGUACACACACACAUUUAGGGUGGGGUCAAAGGUCAAGGGUUAGGUUUAGGCAUCACACAUGCAUUCAUCCACGUAUACAGACACUGAGGUUAGGUUAAGGGAAAACACAGAGGGUAAGGAUAUAAAAUAAAAAAAUAUAAAAGAAUAAAAAUGCAAAUAAAAAGAAAAAGCCAGCUGGAUACUGGACAGCGGGCAGGCGAACAGUGCGGAGGCUCGUGAGGCACUGGCUGGUUAGGUGUGGGGAAGCUCUUGCCUGCCCGACGACAGGAGAGUGAUGCACGGGCCAUCCCGCGCCCCCACACAGCCUCCCGCCACGCCGUCUUUCUCCAACUGACAUGCACAAGCCUUCCGUUCUCUUCCUCGUCCGUUAAAUUUGAAUUUGAGUUUGUUACUCUUUGUUGCCCCCUAGUGCUCAGUAUACGACGUUUCGACUUUUUCUGUGUCUUCAUCAGGUAUGUAUUUCUUUCUUUCUGUUUCUGUUUCUUACGGCCCCCUCUUUAAUAUUAUUCCUGCAACUUAAAUUUAGUUAGGCACCCCCUGUGAUACUGUUCUUCAUUCUUUUUAAAUAAAAUGUUCACAUGGACUUACAAAAAAUGCAGAAAUUAUUUAAAUUGACACACCAGGAUUGGUUUGAAACGAAAGGUAAGUGACGUUGCACAAGCACGAAAACAUCCACACACAUUUAGGGUAAGGACACAUCAGGUAAGUACACACACACAUUUAGGGUGGGGUCAAAGGUCAAGGGUUAGGUUUAGGCAUCACACAUGCAUUCAUCCACGUAUACAGACACUGAGGUUAGGUUAAGGGAAAACACAGAGGGUAAGGAUAUAAAAUAAAAAAAUAUAAAAGAAUAAAAAUGCAAAUAAAAAGAAAAAGCCAGCUGGAUACUGGACAGCGGGCAGGCGAACAGUGCGGAGGCUCGUGAGGCACUGGCUGGUUAGGUGUGGGGAAGCUCUUGCCUGCCCGACGACAGGAGAGUGAUGCACGGGCCAUCCCGCGCCCCCACACAGCCUCCCGCCACGCCGUCUUUCUCCAACUGACAUGCACAAGCCUUCCGUUCUCUUCCUCGUCCGUUAAAUUUGAAUUUGAGUUUGUUACUCUUUGUUGCCCCCUAGUGCUCAGUAUACGACGUUUCGACUUUUUCUGUGUCUUCAUCAGGUAUGUAUUUCUUUCUUUCUGUUUCUGUUUCUUACGGCCCCCUCUUUAAUAUUAUUCCUGCAACUUAAAUUUAGUUAGGCACCCCCUGUGAUACUGUUCUUCAUUCUUUUUAAAUAAAAUGUUCACAUGGACUUACAAAAAAUGCAGAAAUUAUUUAAAUUGACACACCAGGAUUGGUUUGAAACGAAAGGUAAGUGACGUUGCACAAGCACGAAAACAUCCACACACAUUUAGGGUAAGGACACAUCAGGUAAGUACACACACACAUUUAGGGUGGGGUCAAAGGUCAAGGGUUAGGUUUAGGCAUCACACAUGCAUUCAUCCACGUAUACAGACACUGAGGUUAGGUUAAGGGAAAACACAGAGGGUAAGGAUAUAAAAUAAAAAAAUAUAAAAGAAUAAAAAUGCAAAUAAAAAGAAAAAGCCAGCUGGAUACUGGACAGCGGGCAGGCGAACAGUGCGGAGGCUCGUGAGGCACUGGCUGGUUAGGUGUGGGGAAGCUCUUGCCUGCCCGACGACAGGAGAGUGAUGCACGGGCCAUCCCGCGCCCCCACACAGCCUCCCGCCACGCCGUCUUUCUCCAACUGACAUGCACAAGCCUUCCGUUCUCUUCCUCGUCCGUUAAAUUUGAAUUUGAGUUUGUUACUCUUUGUUGCCCCCUAGUGCUCAGUAUACGACGUUUCGACUUUUUCUGUGUCUUCAUCAGGUAUGUAUUUCUUUCUUUCUGUUUCUGUUUCUUACGGCCCCCUCUUUAAUAUUAUUCCUGCAACUUAAAUUUAGUUAGGCACCCCCUGUGAUACUGUUCUUCAUUCUUUUUAAAUAAAAUGUUCACAUGGACUUACAAAAAAUGCAGAAAUUAUUUAAAUUGACACACCAGGAUUGGUUUGAAACGAAAGGUAAGUGACGUUGCACAAGCACGAAAACAUCCACACACAUUUAGGGUAAGGACACAUCAGGUAAGUACACACACACAUUUAGGGUGGGGUCAAAGGUCAAGGGUUAGGUUUAGGCAUCACACAUGCAUUCAUCCACGUAUACAGACACUGAGGUUAGGUUAAGGGAAAACACAGAGGGUAAGGAUAUAAAAUAAAAAAAUAUAAAAGAAUAAAAAUGCAAAUAAAAAGAAAAAGCCAGCUGGAUACUGGACAGCGGGCAGGCGAACAGUGCGGAGGCUCGUGAGGCACUGGCUGGUUAGGUGUGGGGAAGCUCUUGCCUGCCCGACGACAGGAGAGUGAUGCACGGGCCAUCCCGCGCCCCCACACAGCCUCCCGCCACGCCGUCUUUCUCCAACUGACAUGCACAAGCCUUCCGUUCUCUUCCUCGUCCGUUAAAUUUGAAUUUGAGUUUGUUACUCUUUGUUGCCCCCUAGUGCUCAGUAUACGACGUUUCGACUUUUUCUGUGUCUUCAUCAGGUAUGUAUUUCUUUCUUUCUGUUUCUGUUUCUUACGGCCCCCUCUUUAAUAUUAUUCCUGCAACUUAAAUUUAGUUAGGCACCCCCUGUGAUACUGUUCUUCAUUCUUUUUAAAUAAAAUGUUCACAUGGACUUACAAAAAAUGCAGAAAUUAUUUAAAUUGACACACCAGGAUUGGUUUGAAACGAAAGGUAAGUGACGUUGCACAAGCACGAAAACAUCCACACACAUUUAGGGUAAGGACACAUCAGGUAAGUACACACACACAUUUAGGGUGGGGUCAAAGGUCAAGGGUUAGGUUUAGGCAUCACACAUGCAUUCAUCCACGUAUACAGACACUGAGGUUAGGUUAAGGGAAAACACAGAGGGUAAGGAUAUAAAAUAAAAAAAUAUA